rnacentral:rRNA from 1 species
UCGCGAGGUUAACCCGUGUGGGGAAGCCGUAGCGAAAGCGAGUCCGAACAGGGCGAUUCAGUAGCACGCUCAAGACCCGAAGCGGAGUGAUCUAGCCAUGGGCAGGUUGAAGCGGAGGUAAGACUUCGUGGAGGACCGAACCCACCAGGGUUGAAAACCUGGGGGAUGACCUGUGGUUAGGGGUGAAAGGCCAAUCAAACUCCGUGAUAGCUGGUUCUCCCCGAAAUGCAUUUAGGUGCAGCGUCGUGUGUUUCUUGCCGGAGGUAGAGCACUGGAUAGGCGAUGGGCCCUACCGGGUUACUGACCUUAGCCAAACUCCGAAUGCCGGUAAGUGAGAGCGCGGCAGUGAGACUGCGGGGGAUAAGCUUCGUAGUCGAGAGGGAAACAGCCCAGAUCGCCGGCUAAGGCCCCUAAGCGUGUACUAAGUGGAAAAGGAUGUGGGAUCGCUGAGACAACCAGGAGGUUGGCUUAGAAGCAGCCACCCUUGAAAGAGUGCGUAAUAGCUCACUGGUCAAGUGGUCCUGCGCCGACAAUGUAGCGGGGCUCAAGUACACCGCCGAAGCCGCGGCAUUCACAUAACACCCCGGAAGGGUUACGGCUUUUCCGGCAGUGGUGUGGAUGGGUAGGGGAGCGUCGUGUGGCCGUAGAAGCGCCGGAGUGAUCCAGGUGUGGAGGCCACGCGAGUGAGAAUGCAGGCAUGAGUAGCGAAAGACGAGUGAGAAACUCGUCCGCCGGAUGACCAAGGGUUCCUGGGCCAGGUUAAUCCGCCCAGGGUGAGUCGGGACCUAAGGCGAGGCCGACAGGCGUAGUCGAUGGACAACGGGUUGAUAUUCCCGUACCCGUGUAUCCGCGCCCAAUGGCGAAUCAGUUGUGCUAACCGUCCAAAAGUCUCCGGUGUUCCUUCGGGAACUGUGGGGAUGGCUGCACGGGACCCUGAUUGUAGUAGUCAAGCGAUGGGGUGACGCAGGAAGGUAGCUGGGCCAGGUGAUGGAAUACCUGGUGUAAGCCGGUAGGGCGAAUGGUAGGCAAAUCCGCCAUUCAUCAAGCCUGAGAGGUGAUGCGUACCCGUUGAGGGGAAUUCAGUGAUCCUAUGCUGCCGAGAAAAGCCUCUAGUGAGUUGGUACACGGCCCGUACCCCAAACCGACACAGGUGGUCAGGUAGAGAAUACCAAGGCGCUUGAGAGAACUCGGGUGAAGGAACUAGGCAAAAUGGUGCCGUAACUUCGGGAGAAGGCACGCUGAUAUGUAGGUGAGGUCCCUCGCGGAUGGAGCUGAAAUCAGUCGAAGAUACCAGCUGGCUGCAACUGUUUAUUAAAAACACAGCACUGUGCAAACACGAAAGUGGACGUAUACGGUGUGACGCCUGCCCGGUGCCGGAAGGUUAAUUGAUGGGGUUAGCGCAAGCGAAGCUCUUGAUCGAAGCCCCGGUAAACGGCGGCCGUAACAAUAACGGUCCUAAGGUAGCGAAAUUCCUUGUCGGGUAAGUUCCGACCUGCACGAAUGGCGU